rnacentral:rRNA from 1 species
UACGUAGGUGGCGAGCGUUGUCCGGAUUUACUGGGCGUAAAGGGCGUGCAGGCGGUUUGUUAAGUGCAGGGUGAAAGCUCCCGGCUCAACUGGGAGAGGUCCUUGCAUACUGGCGAACUCGAGGGAGGCAGAGGAAAGUGGAAUUCCCGGUGUAGUGGUGAUAUGCGUAGAUAUCAGGAGGAACACCAAUGGCGAAGGCAGCACUCUGGGACGUGACUGACGCUGAGACGCGAAAGCGUGGGGAGCAAACAGG